GCGGCGGACGGGUGAGUAACACGUGGGCAACCUGCCUGUAAGACUGGGAUAACUUCGGGAAACCGAAGCUAAUACCGGAUAGGAUCUUCUCCUUCAUGGGAGAUGAUUGAAAGAUGGUUUCGGCUAUCACUUACAGAUGGGCCCGCGGUGCAUUAGCUAGUUGGUGAGGUAACGGCUCACCAAGGCCACGAUGCAUAGCCGACCUGAGAGGGUGAUCGGCCACACUGGGACUGAGACACGGCCCAGACUCCUACGGGAGGCAGCAGUAGGGAAUCUUCCGCAAUGGACGAAAGUCUGACGGAGCAACGCCGCGUGAGUGAUGAAGGCUUUCGGGUCGUAAAACUCUGUUGUUAGGGAAGAACAAGUACAAGAGUAACUGCUUGUACCUUGACGGUACCUAACCAGAAAGCCACGGCUAACUACGUGCCAGCAGCCGCGGUAAUACGUAGGUGGCAAGCGUUAUCCGGAAUUAUUGGGCGUAAAGCGCGCGCAGGCGGUUUCUUAAGUCUGAUGUGAAAGCCCACGGCUCAACCGUGGAGGGUCAUUGGAA
rnacentral:rRNA from 1 species